rnacentral:rRNA from 1 species
AGAGUUGAUCCUGGCUCAGGAUGAACGCUAGCGGCAAGCCUAACACAUGCAAGUCGAACGGUAACUUUUGGUGCUUGCACCGAAAGACGAGUGGCGAACGGGUGCGUAACGCGUAUGCAAUCUGCCUUUUACUAGGGUAUAGCCCAGAGAAAUUUGGAUUAAUCCCCUAUAAUAUCAUUUAAUCGCAUGAUUUUAUGAUUAAAGCUUCGGCGGUAAAAGAUGAGCAUGCGUCCUAUUAGUUAGUAGGUGAGGUAACGGCUCACCUAGACUCCGAUAGGUAGGGGUCCUGAGAGGGAGAUCCCCCACACUGGUACUGAGACACGGACCAGACUCCUACGGGAGGCAGCAGUGAGGAAUAUUGGACAAUGGACGAAAGUCUGAUCCAGCUAUGCCGCGUGCAGGAUGACGGCCCUAUGGGUUGUAAACUGCUUUUAUACAGGAAGAAAAACUCCGACGUGUCGGAACUUGACGGUACUGUAAGAAUAAGGAUCGGCUAACUCCGUGCCAGCAGCCGCGGUAAUACGGAGGAUCCAAGCGUUAUCCGGAAUCAUUGGGUUUAAAGGGUCCGUAGGCGGUUUUUUAAGUCAGAGGUGAAAUCCUGCAGCUCAACUGUAGAAUUGCCUUUGAUACUGAAAGACUUGAGUUAUUGUGAAGUGGUUAGAAUGUGUGGUGUAGCGGUGAAAUGCAUAGAUAUCACACAGAAUACCAAUUGCGAAGGCAGAUCACUAACAAUAUACUGACGCUCAGGGACGAAAGCGUGGGUAGCGAACAGGAUUAGAUACCCUGGUAGUCCACGCCGUAAACGAUGGAUACUAGCUGUAUGUCUACUUCAGGUAGAUGUGUGGCUAAGCGAAAGUGAUAAGUAUCCCACCUGGGGAGUACGAUCGCAAGAUUGAAACUCAAAGGAAUUGAC